GGUUCCUGAAGCACUGCUUGGCUGCAGGAAUUGGUGUCGUCCCGCGCACCAACACCCCAUCAAUGUCAAACAGAAGCCCAAAGGAAUUGGGGCCCUUCACAGGACGAUCAGACGUUUAGAAUGAAGAGAUAAGAAGGAGACCAGCAGUGAGUUGAAGAGCUGCCAAACCCAGCAGCACAGAGGAAGCAGAGAUCCAGUCACUUCCUCUAUGUGAUCCUGAGUCUCCUCUUCGUCUGCACUAGAGGCUGGAGGGAUCGAAGAGGUGCAGGCUGCGCGAACAAGCAUUAUGAAUAGAUGUCAUCCUGGGUUUGUCGGUGGGAUCUUAGCCGACAUGGGAACCGGCCUUCCAUGUUUGCACCACCAGCAGCUCAGGCUGUUGUUGGCUCCUCCUCCAACACAGACACCAUUACGUUGACAUCACCACACAGAGGUGGUGGUUGCCGUGGUAACGUCUUUGGAGGUGACAGUGGAGGUCAAAGACAACUGCUCGUCACUGGUUGGCAUUGUCAAGUGUACACUUACUAUCGUCAUCCACACUUUACAACUAAAAAAACCUCUAACUAAUAUAUUUGUCCAUUAUUACCUUGUGUCUAACACUGGUAGAAAU